rnacentral:lncRNA from 1 species
UUGAAUCCCUUGAAUAGAGUUGAUGCAUGUAGAAGUUUAUUGGGUAGAUGAAAAAGGGAAAAGGACUGUUGCGUGAACGUCAAACGUUGAAACUUGCUCUGAAAGAUGAAAAAGGGCAAAGGCUGUAAGAUUGAUUGUAAGUAUUCUGAUCUAUGAAACUAAAAUUGACUUGUGGUUCUGCUUUAUCGAUUUGAUUAAAAUUAUGAAAUUGAAACAGAUCUAUGUGAACAUAACUGCAAUGUGAAAUUAAUGGAUUAGUUUUUAAUGUGUUCAUAAUUAAAACCUUUACUAGAAAAAACCAGCAUAAUUUGUAUUGGUUAAUACACCAAUCUACUAAGGAUGCUAAUAGAUUUAACCAACAAAAUCAGUUUGGUUAAUACACAAUCUACUAAGCAAAAUUCACCAAAAUCUGUUUGUUAGUUCUAGAUUAAUUUUGUGCAUGCCAUUCAUAUGGUAUUGGAAUAAAAAUCACAUGCUUUCACUUGUUAUUAGAAUUAUGUGCUUUUAAUUUGUAUUACUUGCAGUUU